rnacentral:rRNA from 1 species
GAUGAACGCUGGCGGCGUGCUUAACACAUGCAAGUCGAACGGGAAGACUUUGUUUUUGUGGGGUACUGGCGGGGCGAACGGGUGAGUAACACGUUAGUAACCUACCCAUGACUUUAGGAGAUCUUCAGGAAACUGCGGCCAAAAGCGGAUAGGUGAUCCUCCUGCAUGGCGGGGGCUGGCAACUGUCGGCUGUGGGGGAUGGGCUCGCGGCUUAUCAGCUUGUGGGUGGGGGAGUGGCUUACCAAUGAUUUGGCGGGUAGCCGGCCUGCGAGGGUGACCGGCCACAUAGGGACUGCGAUCCGGCCCAGAAUCCUACGGGAGGCAGCAGCGGUGAAUAUUGCACCAUGGGCGGCAGCCUGAUGCCGGAACGCUGCGGGCGGGAUGACGGCCUUCGGGGUGUAAACCGCUUUCGCCCGUGGAGAAGAGUGAGUGACGGUAUCGGGUACAGAAGCCCCGGCUAACUCCGUG